ACAGUGGUUGUUCAGUGGUAGGAUUCUCACCUUCCGUGCAGAAGACCUAGGUUCAAAUCCUGGCCAAUGCG
rnacentral:tRNA from 1 species